rnacentral:sRNA from 1 species
GCCAGGGGCAGUGGCGCAUGCCUGUAAUCCCAGCUGCUCUGGAGGCUGAGGCAGGAGGAUCUCGAGUUCAAAGUCAGCCUCAGCAAAAGCAAGACACUAAGCAACUCAGUGAGAUCCUGUCUCUA